UAGCCGUAAACGAUACUCGCUAGGUGUCGGCCACGGUGCGACCGUUGUCGGUGCCGUAGGGAAGCCGUGAAGCGAGCCACCUGGGAAGUACGGCCGCAAGGCUGAAACUUAAAGGAAUUGGCGGGGGAGCACAACAACGGGUGGAGCUUGCGGGUUAAUUGGAUUCAACGCCGGAAAUCUUACCGGGACCGACAGCAACAUGAAGGCCAGGCUGAAGACUUUGCCGGAUUAGCUGAGAGGAGGUGCAUGGCGUAGUCGUGU
rnacentral:rRNA from 1 species